GACAGAGGGGGCAAGCGUUGCUCGGAAUUACUGGGCGUAAAGGGCGCGUAGGCGGGAUGGCAAGUCGGUCGUGAAAUCCCUCGGCUCAACCGAGGAACGUCGAUCGAUACUGCUGUUCUUGAGGAUUGCAGAGGAGACUGGAAUUCCCGGUGUAGCGGUGAAAUGUGUAGAGGAUCGGGAGGAACACCGGUGGCGAAGGCGGGUCUCUGGGCAAUUCCUGACGCUGAGGCGCGAAAGCGUGGGGAGCAAACGGG
rnacentral:rRNA from 1 species